CUGUCGACCAAACGGCGGCAUUAAGCAGGCCACGGAAAAUCUUGGCGAGUUCUUGACCGGCGAUCGAAUAGAGAACUC
rnacentral:tRNA from 1 species